GCCCAGAUAGCUCAGUUGGUAGAGCAGCGGACUGAAAAUCCGCGUGUCGGUGGUUCGAAUCCGCCUCUGGGCA
rfam:Mesorhizobium metallidurans STM 2683, WGS project CATM01000000 data, contig: ANX_1634_Contig_76